rnacentral:rRNA from 1 species
CUACACAUGCAAGUCGAACGCAGUAGCAAUACUGAGUGGCAAACGGGUGAGUAUAAUGUGGGUAUCUGCCUUUUGGUUUGGAAUAACACGAGGAAACUUGUGCUAAUACCGGAUAAGCCCUUACGGGGAAAGUUUUAACGCCGAAAGAUGAGCCCGCACUUGAUUAGCUAGUUGGUAAGGUAAUAGCUUACCAAGGCUACGAUCAAUAGCUGAUCUGAGAGGAUGAUCAGCCACAUUGGGACUGAGACACGGCCCAAACUCCUACGGGAGGCAGCAGUGGGGAAUCUUGCACAAUGGGGGAAACCCUGAUGCAGCGAUGCCGCGUGAGUGAAGAAGGCCUUUGGGUUGUAAAGCUCUUUCGUCGGGGAAGAAAAUGACUGUACCCGAAUAAGAAGGUCCGGCUAACUUCGUGCCAGCAGCCGCGGUAAUACGAAGGGACCUAGCGUAGUUCGGAAUUACUGGGCUUAAAGAGCUCGUAGGUGGUUAGAAAAGUUAAUGGUGAAAUCCCAAGGCUUAACCUUGGAACUGCCAUUAAAACUUUUUAACUAGAGUAUGAUAGAGGUAAGCGGAAUUUCUAGUGUAGAGGUGAAAUUCGUAGAUAUUAGAAAGAACACCAAUUGCGAAGGCAGCUUUCUGGAUCAUUACUGACACUGAGGAGCGAAAGCAUGGGUAGCGAAGAGGAUUAGAUACCCUCGUAGUCCAUGCCGUAAACGAUGUGUGCUAGACGUUGGAAAUUUAUUUUUCAGUGUCGCAGCAAAAGCGUUAAGCACACCGCCNGGGGAGUACGACCGCAAGGUUAAAACUCAAAUGAAUUGACGGGGACCCGCACAAGUAGUGGAGCAUGUGGUUUAAUUCGAAGAUACGCGCAGAACCUUACCAACACUUGACAUGUUCGUCGCGACUCUAGAGAUUAGAGUCUUCGGUUCGGCCGGACGAAACACAGGUGCUGCAUGGCUGUCGUCAGCUCGUGUCGUGAGAUGUUGGGUUAAGUCCCGCAACGAGCG